rnacentral:lncRNA from 1 species
GGCUGAAGGAGAAGCCUCAGGACAAGGCCAUACAUGUAUAGCACAGCAUACUAAUGUGGGGCUCUGGAGAAUCCUCCCACCAGCAGGCCAUACUAAACUGCAGGAGUCCUCAGACCAGAUGCUGGAGAAGCAGCAGUCCAGAAAUACCACUGGGUAAACCAAAAAUGUCCAGCUAAAACCUGCUAUCACUAGACAUAGGACCAGCCAAGGACAACACAGCAAGGCAAAAAACUUUUAGAGGAUAACUGAUCUACUGCAGUCAAGCACCAUAAGAAAAACUGUC